rnacentral:rRNA from 1 species
GACAGAGGGUGCAAACGUUGCUCGGAUUUACUGGGCGUAAAGCGCAUGUAGGCGGGACUUUAAGUCGGGUGUGAAAUCCCUGGGCUCAACCUAGGAACUGCAUCCGAAACUGAGGUUCUGGAGUAGUGGAGAGGAAAGCGGAAUUCCGGGUGUAGAGGUGAAAUUCGUAGAUAUCCGGAGGAACACCAGUGGCGAAGGCGGGUCUCUGGGCCGAUACUGACGCUGAGGAGCGAAAGCGUGGGGAGCGAACAGG